CCCAGGCCCCAGAGUCUCCCUCGCCUUUCUUUCGACGUUGAGCCCCCCGAGGAAUCACAAGGCGCUCGGAAGACUCAUGCCUGCCCGAAACGGGUCCGAAAUGUUUCCAGAGCCCGCGUCGUCCCCUCAGUUCCCCCUCCCGCAGAGGCCGUAACGGGGCGAUGCUAUCGCCGCGGACACGGCCAGACGCUCGGAGCUGGAGGGAAGGCCCCGGGAAACGGCUCGGGCAAACGUCCGAACCAUGGGCUCCGAGGCAGGUGCAGGG
rnacentral:lncRNA from 1 species